rnacentral:rRNA from 1 species
UGGGGAAUAUUGGACAAUGGGCGAAAGCCUGAUCCAGCCAUGCCGCGUGUGUGAAGAAGGUAUUCGGAUUGUAAAGCACUUUAAGUUGGGAGGAAGGGCAGUAAGCGAAUACCUUGCUGUUUUGACGUUACCGACAGAAUAAGCACCGGCUAACUCUGUGCCAGCAGCCGCGGUAAUACAGAGGGUGCAAGCGUUAAUCGGAAUUACUGGGCGUAAAGCGCGCGUAGGUGGUUCGUUAAGUUGAAUGUGAAAGCCCCGGGCUCAACCUGGGAACUGCAUCCAAAACUGGCGAGCUAGAGUAGGGAAGAGAGUGGUGGAAUUUCCUGUGUAGCGGUGAAAUGCGUAGAUAUAGGAAGGAACACCAGUGGCGAAGGCGACCACCUGGGCUCAUACUGACACUGAGGUGCGAAAGCGUGGGGAGCAAACAGG